UUUUUCUUUUGUUUUUCAAAGUUAAUGAAACAGCUUUAAGCAAAUGAUAAUUUUUCUGAUUUCUGAAUUGAUUUGAUAUACCUAUUUGUUUAACUGAAUUCUAAAUUCUUUUGAUAUAAUAGUUUGGGUUUACAAUAUGAAUAUAUAUAAGGGUUUUGUGAAUUGAUGAAUUGAUAUAUGAAUUGGUUUUGCUGAUUAUGAAUUUACUUUAUUAUUGAUUGUUGUUGCUGUGAUGAAUACCAUGCUUCUUUCAACCACCGGUUCUGUUCUUGUCGAGGCUUCGCCACAUGAUUUUUUUUGGGAUGGAGAUCGAGAUGGAAAAGGCUUAAACUAUCUUGUCCGCUUAUUGAUGAAGCUAAGAUCAGAGUUUCUUGGCGAGUCGUCAUCAUCGUGCGAUUCCCCUAGUAUAGCCGGAUAACUAUGUACAGAGCCACAGAAAAUAUUAUACCGUACCAGGUACUUGUGGUAGUGAUUAUUUUCAACAAUGGAAGUGUAUAUAGUGGUGACUGGAGAACUCCCGAAGUGAUGAAUGAACUUCACAAAGAUGAUCCUACUCCGACUUCCUUUGUUACGAAAGCAGGCUAACUUGUUGGGACACUUGAUGAACUCAAGUCUGCUCUUUUAAAAUCAGCUGUUAUUAAUGUUAUUGUUGAUUCCUAUACUAGUUCAGAGAGUGAGAGGUUGCAACACAAGAACUGAUUUUCAUAUUAUCUAUAUUAUGCUGAAAUUAUGCUUUCUAUUAUUUUCAUUUUUAGAUUUCAAAUUUCAAUAACACAAAUUACAUAGCCUUGUGAUUUUUUAUGAUGUACCAUGAAAUGAUAAAGACACAAACUAUAUUUCA